GCCCACCCCCAUUCAGCGCGCUCUGCAAACCCUUCUUCCUUCUGCAAACCCGUACUCUCUCGCUCGCUGCCUCACCCUCGCCCUCUCUCUCGCCUCUCGCUUGACGCUUGCUCGCUCUCGCUCGCUGCUCGCCCUCGCCUCUCAGUCGAUAGCUGGGGAGGUCGCAUCUAUGGCUACUGGCUCUGGCUCUCUAACUCUUGCUCUCGCUGGGUGACUUGGUCGCUCGCCUCUCUGCAUUGCCAUUGGGACACUUCGGUUCAAUCCUUUGAGGAAGGCAGUGGGCAUCCCUUCAUACUCUAGAGACAAAAAGACUAGAGGGGACAAAAAUGAAAGUUAAGCUCUUGCGUAUCCUUCUUUUGAUUAGUAUUGUUACUUUUUUUUAAACCAUGGUAUUAUUAUUGUUCUCUAUCAAACACUUUUUAUGUUUAUGUAUGUCGUAAAUAGAUGCUAUUUUUCAUUUGGCUUUUUUCUUUAUUCUCUUAUAUGGCUUGGAAUUAAUAUCAUUGACAGAAGGAUAAACUAUAUGUGUAAACCUGAUAUUAAGUGUCUAGACAAUUACAAUCCUGUACUGCCAAAAAAUCUGUCAGUUAUAUUCUCAUUUGAAUCCUGAUUUUCCCUUGAAAGUCUAGAGGGUAAAGAAAAGUGGAUACUAGGCAAAUGUGGGGAGUGUUCAUCUUCUCAUGGGAACCCAAACUUCCACAAGCAUUAUGAAUUGCAUCUGGAUGUCUUUCUGGAUUCAUGUGUUGAUGAUAAUUAGGGUUUUGUGGCAGUUAAAAUACUUGGCUUUUUCUUCAGUUCAAUUAAAUUGGUAAAAUGGUCUUCAACCAGCAGCUUGCUCACCAGUAAAAGAAUCUAAAAUUUUAGAGUUAAAGUGAAGACAUUUCUUGGUGGUGACUGGUUACCACCUAUUGAUAUUUUAACUAAAAGAUGUCCCUCUUGAAUAAUUUUAUAAAUUUAUUGUAGAAGUCUUUAGUUUUUAGACAUUCUAUCAAGUAAUUCAGUUGAAGACAUUUUUCAAUGAUUUGAAUUUCAUAAAUGGGCGAUUGUUUUGUUUUUAGUUCGGAAAUUGCAUAAGUUUUUAAUGCUGAUAAAUAUUGUCUCCAUAAAAAAUUCAAUUAUUUUAAUAUGUAGUUUACCAGCUAGCUUUGCGGAUUAUUAUUGUUGUUGUUUUAUCUAUUUGAAGCCUUUGUUCUUUCUUGACCUAGUCGUCUUGGGACACUGUUGGGAUCAUGAA